GAUGAACGCUGGCGGCGUGCCUAAUACAUGCAAGUCGAGCGAACAGACGAGGAGCUUGCUCCUCUGACGUUAGCGGCGGACGGGUGAGUAACACGUGGAUAACCUACCUAUAAGACUGGGAUAACUUCGGGAAACCGGAGCUAAUACCGGAUAAUAUAUUGAACCGCAUGGUUCAAUAGUGAAAGACGGUUUUGCUGUCACUUAUAGAUGGAUCCGCGCCGCAUUAGCUAGUUGGUAAGGUAACGGCUUACCAAGGCAACGAUGCGUAGCCGACCUGAGAGGGUGAUCCGCCCAACUGGAACUGAGACACGGUCCAAGAUCCUACGGGAGGCAGCAGUAGGGAAUCUUCCGCAAUGGGCGAAAGCCUGACGGAGCAACGCCGCGUGAGUGAUGAAGGUCUUCGGAUCGUAAAACUCUGUUAUUAGGGAAGAACAAAUGUGUAAGUAACUAUGCACGUCUUGACGGUACCUAAUCAGAAAGCCACGGCUAACUACGUG
rnacentral:rRNA from 1 species